GAUGUGCCUAUCACCAUGCUUGACAUGAUUCCGUGUCAUCUGUCUUUUUCCUUACCAAACAUCUUCUGCUCCUACCAUGCUGCUUCCCUGCGUGUUCCUAUUCCAUUUUCCGUGUGGUCUCCCCCCCCCAGUCACCCACAUUCCCCUCUGCUUGAGGUUUGCUCUUGCCACCCUUUCUGCAAAAAGUGUGACAAACCCUCACCUCCGUCUCUGUCCCUGUGUCCCCUCAGCCGUGUCCCCAGACCUCUGUGAUCUGGGGUCUCUUUCCCCUUAGUUGCACUUUGUGCCAUUUAAAAAAAAAAAUUGCAUUUUUUGCAACAUAAUGUGCUAGUUUCAGGGUUUUAAAUUUCAUCAGAACCCACGUUUUCUUUCUUAGAGCAAGAAGGGGAAAGAGAUCAGCCCAGGGAGGCCGAGGCUGAAGGUGAGGCCUGAGGGCAGCGCUGUGGGGACCCUCCCGGAGCCCUCACCAAGAGCUCAGCCCACAGAGCCCCGGGAGAAGCCAGGAAUGAACCUGAACGCUUUGUUCCAGCAUAUACAGUUCACAGAGAAGCAGGCGAGGGAGAAGAGGAGCUUCAUCCAACAAGCUAAAUGCGACAUAAAUAGAAGUUAUGAAAAAAUUAACCAAAUAAAAGAAGAGCUGAGUGCUGCAAAAAUUAACUUAGAAACCAAGGUUCAGCAUCUUUCUGUAAAGCAGUUCAAUGCAGAAAUUCUGAAGAAACGUGAAGACAGCUUAGAAAAACAAAAAGCUGAACUAAUUAAUCAAAAAGCCAGUCUUCUUAAAAUCAUGGCAGAUGCAAAGAGAAAAAUUGCUGAAGAGGAAGAUAAGUUUACCAAAGAAAUAACAGAGUUUAACAAUGAAUAUGGACUAACAAGUAAUAGAGAUCUUCAUAUAAAAAAGAAAGUCAAGACUGAAAUAAAUGAUUUAGAGAAUGAAGCAGCUCUGUUGAAAAAUGAAAUGGAGUCAAUGGAACAUAAAAAUGUUCAGUUAAAUGCACUCCAGCUGCAGAAGAAUGAAUUAAAGCAGGAUUUAUUUACUCUGCAAAGUGAGCUCAAAGACCUUGAGAAAGUAAUCAGGGAAGCAGAAAGAAUGACUAAAGAUUUAGAAGCAGAAAAAGUCCAAGUCACUGAAAAACCUCAGACUGAUCCUGAAUGUUUAAGAAGAGUCACUAAAAAGAGGAGGAAUAUGGAUUGUAUACCAUGUAAGUUUGUCUGCUUGUACACAAUUAGGGACUUCAAUAACGGGUACCUGGAAGCAGAGAGGACUGAGCAUACUGUGUGUGCAAAACACAGCUAUAAACAUCAAAAGAAAAUAUAAAGCUGUGCAUGAGAUAAAAGAAAGUUAUUUCCAAAAAAUACCAGGAGGGUGUAAGAAUACUUUGUACAAAUCUUUCACCUACUUGUCAAAAAAGAUUCAUUCAACCUGAAAGAUGAGCAGAGCAUGGAAAGCCCAUAAAGCAGAAUGAAACAAGGACAAUCCUAAAUCUUUUUUUAGUUCUGAGUCUAUUAUACACAUGAAGAAAGCAGUACAUAACAGAGACACUAAGUUCAGCAAUAGAGUAGGCAUAUUAAUAUACCUAGAUUAAGAUCUAGUUUUCUUUGUCCAUUAGAAAAAUAAAGAUCAUUGAACCAGAAGAACCAUUGACCCCUAUUUGCUUUCCCUGCCUUUCAAUAGAAAUUUUAUUGACCUCUAGAAACACAUUUCAUUUCAAAUCUCACAUACAUGCUUGUAUAUUUUUUCUUUCCUAUGUACCUCAUUCUUACAGUUCCAAUGAAAAGUAAUCCACACAACUUUGGUUUGCUGUCUGCACAAAAGCAAAUCUCAUCCUAGAUGUGCAAUUUAAUUUAGUGUGCCUUAACCUUUCCAUGUUUAUUCACCUAUUAUUAUAUAUACCUUAAAUAUGUCUUGUGAUGGUUUAUGUGUUUGGAAAAUACCACCACAUUUUUCAAGACGUCUAACUGCUCUUAUUAAUAGGUGCCUGAAAACAUUCACAAAAUGAAAACUUAAAUGUAAAAUACAUAGUUACUUUUGAUUAAACAUUUUAUCCAGGAUGCCAAAAGCAGAAAAUUUCUUAUUUUACUUGAGGUAGAUGAAUUUCUUUUGAUUUGCAUUUAAUUUCCAUUCUUAUGUUGUCUAGUACCUUCCUUGUGUUCAUGUUUCAUCUUCUUGCUAGACUUCAUUAUUACUACUAGAUCACUUGCUUAAUUUUAUUAUUCUUCUGCUCCAUCAAGCACAGACUUUUAUAUUUAAUUGUGUAACUCAAGUACUUGACUUUAUAUUUUGGGAUACUGUAUUCCAUUUAGGACUUGUUUUAUCUCUUCCUCAAUCAAUUCAUAAUAGUCUGAAAUUUAUUGACUUCUCCAACUGUAUCAAUAGCAUAUUCUGUUUAGUAAUGUCAGCAAAUUUUAAAUACCAAUAAAAUCUCGCUCUCACUGUAGAAACAUACAGGUGCUUUAAACCCAGUCUUGAACUGACAGAAUUACCUCAGUGUCUUACCUCUACUUGAGCUUGAGACAAUAAACUUAAGUCUUCAAUACUUUUCUUCAGUCCCAAUAAAGUCUUAAAACAUUGAUAAAUAUAUCUCCUGAUGUUCAUGAUGAAAUCCCAGAAAAAUCAAGAUAUGUACUCUCAAGUUAUAUAUAGCUUCUUAAGGAAUUUCAUUUUGUACCAUGGAGUCUGUGCCAUGUAUAUCAGUGUCAAACAGUUCUGUUUUAUAACACACUACAAUGUUUUCCCUCCAAUUUAUGACUAAAAAAUAAAAUGGUGGUCGUAAACAAGGCAAAGACAAAAAGGAGAAUAUAGAAAAAAAUUUGUACUUGUGGCAGCUGAACAUAACAAUCUGCUCCUCCUGCAAUUCCACCGACAAUUAGGUAGGGUCUUUCAGCCCCACUAGAAAAAAAAAAAACAACUCUAAAAUCAGAUAUUAACCCUACCUUCUACAGAAAUUAUUUCUCCUUUAAGACCUCUUUACAGAAAAUUACUCUUGGAAUACAAGUUUUGGAUACUAAAGUCUUGAUCCAGUAAUUUGAAUCUAUGGAUGAGUUGCAGAGAGACCUGUUUGACAAUAACAUUAUUUUCUUCAUAGUUCAAUUUAUAAUACUAGCAUGUAUUGAUUUCAAAUUAUUUUUCCUCUUUGCCACAUGCAUCUGGAGGUGAAAUUCAAGAAGAAUGUGUAUCAACCACAAAUGCCAAUGACAUUUAAUAGCUGGGCUCAUUUCAGAGCUGCAAAAUCGAUCAUCUUCAGUGAUCUCCUCCUUCUUCAUCUCUGUCACUUCUAGCAUUCAAGACUAAUGGAAAAUGGGCCAUUGAUAGCAGAACUCAGUCUAGGACAAGAUAGCAUCCAAAAAAUGCUGAUGUUGUUUUCCCACCUACUUGAUUUAAGGCUAGGUUUAGCUAUUGCAAAUGUGGCAUUUCAGCUCCAGCUGUUCAUUAGAGCCUAUGAUACUGUAACUUGCCAAGACACUGUUAGUCCAGUGCAAUGACUUAUUUUAAAGCUAUAUUUUAUUGUCAAUAAGGAGAACAAAAUGCUAAAAACAAAACAAAACCAAAGGACAAGGGGAGCCAAAUGCUAAUGUGAUUUUUAGAUUAUUUUUCCUAAGAGAUCUGCCUUUUUUCAUAGUCAUAAAAAGGGUAUAAUUGUCAAAUUAAUCCUUGUUCUAGCAAAAGUUACAUCUUUUUCCAUUUUCAAAGGUGACAGAAAACCUGCCUUCUAUCGAGACAGUAUAGUUUCAUGAAUAAUUGGUUUGCACAUUCAAUCUGAUAAUGGAAAGAUGAAUAUGAAUAUCCUGCUUAUCUUAAAUGUAAAAUGAAAAGACUGAAUCUGCUUUCAGGUUAAACAUUUUUUUUUAAUAGUUCCAUUGUCUCACAUUCCUUCUGGUAAAACUUCAUCAUUUAUUCAGUAACUCAGGCGUCUCCAAUGCAUUAAUUUUGUAGACUGUAACCUAACAGACAGCUCUUAUUUUGUGAGUAUAUUAUUCCUGGCACAUAGUGUAAUUAUCUAGCUUCUAAAUAAGAAAGAAGGAAGACCUGAAAGCAGAAUCAAUUGAUUAAUGUAAGAAUUAAACACCACAUUUGAAUGAAUGUCUUGUAUCACCACUACCUGAUGAUAUGUAAGGAAUUGUGCUGUCACUACACUUAAAAGUCUUAUGAAAUAUUUGAAAUAAAAUUUUAAAAUCCAUGCACAAAAUGUUACUUUUAAAGCCCAUCAUCAACAGAAAUUAAUUGACAAUCCCAAGACACAAAUAAGCAACUCCUACUGCUGAUCUUCUGCUUGUUCUAUUCCUAGUGUGGACCUAGUAUGGACUGGUAGCAUUCCUAGCUAGCAAGUGGCAAACAGGCUGUGCAUCAGUUUUACACUGUGACAGACAAUGGGAGAGCAUUUUCUCCGAGACCAGCAGACUCUGUCUUUUCCUAAAGUAAAUUAAACUAUUGGGCUUUGGUUUGUCCCAAGCAAAUUAGGGUUCUAAUAUCACAGUAGCAGAGAACACAGAGAGAAAAAAUGCAGAGACAAGGCAAUGAAGUUAAGGAGAUUUAAUCAAGAUCACAAGCUGAUCCUAGACCUUGAAGUGAACUUCUGUCAAUGAGAUGGACUGAAAACUAACAAUGUACUACAGUGCACUGAAAAUUUCAUUUCUAAAGCAUAGUUCAAAAUUCCCUUUUCAAUUCUUGUGUUAUGAGAAAUAUUUCUGAAAGAAGGGACAUUUCCUCCUUUAUAAUGGAAGCACAUAGAGCAAAUGCUUUUUCCAUAUUGAUGGUAAGAUAUUUGCAUUUUCCACAGGAACAACAAAAUUAACUUCCAGUCCAGUCUUAGUCUGUUGUUCUAAAGCUGCACAGUGACUAAGCUAUUCCUCUGUUUAAAGAUAUAUCAUUUAAUAAAGCCAUUUUUGUGCAGACCAACUCUCUUUGCACUAGGACAGCUAAAGAGGUACAUCUCUGUAGCAAGGUCAAAUAAUUUAUUGUCUAUUAUAGUAUAUAAAAUCAAUAAUAGUUGCUACCUUCUGUUUCAACUUCAGAAGAAACAAGGUCCUACUUUAAUGCAUUGGUUUAGCUAUUUUAUGACAAGGAGAAUAUUUUUGGUCUUUUUGUAUGUUCCAGAACAUUUAGAUUGUUUCCUGAAACUGUAUUAAGCGUAAACAACUUUAUCUUUGUCAUUAUGCUUUUCUUCUGACAGCCAUGAAAAGACCCAGUAUAAUCUCAUCACCUUGUAUUUAUCAGACUGCUGAAAGCUCUGUCAGAGAUUUCUCUGGGCCCCCCAAGUAUUAAUUUAAAUCACUACAGUCAUUGAUGUGUAGAGCUGAGGUAUCUCCUUUUAGCAGGACUGAACUAUCUUUUGCAUGGAGAAAUAUCUAUACUAAAGUAAUCCUUAUUGUAGAAAAGUUGGAGAACUCCUGGCUGAGAGUACUGGGAAACAGUAAGUGCUGAGAAACAGUGGGAGCAGGGGGGAGAGAAGAGGAACAAAAUCUGCGGAGUUUUGGGAGGGUAUGGAGCAAUGGGGCAGCAGAGCACCCAUCUAAUCCAACAUUCUGUCUCCAGCAGAGGCUACAAGAAGAUACCCAGGAGAGAUAAGAACAGUAACAGAUGGUACUUUCUAAGUAUCACCAUUCCAAUUCACAUGUUUAAAUAAGGAAUAUGAUGACUAGUGAAGCCAUAUAUCUUUCACAGUUUAUGGAAACAACACAGUCCAGAAUUUUGUCUAACUAGCAAACUUAAAUCCCAACCAGGAAAACAGAUCAAUGAGGCUUUUCUCACACAAGUCAAAUUGAGAACUGGGACCAAAGCUGAAAAAAAGUUAUCCAGCAACAGUUCUCUGACCUGAAAAUUUAUUUGCUUUUGGACACAGACUUAAGAAAGAGUUGGAAAAAUGCAAAGAUGAUAGCUGGGAAAGUGUCUGUGAGACUCUUCAAACAGAAAUUGAAAUUCUGCAAAUGAAUUUAUCACAAAAGAAGUCUUCAGGGAAAUGAAUGAUACGUCAUAAUAUGGAGUGUCAUAGAAGCAAGUCUGAGAAUUUUUAAAUUGUUUUACUCUGGUUCUAUCAGAUUUGCUUCUAUUUUCUGUUUGAUUAACUCUCACUCUGAUUCUGCCUUUACUUUCCAUUAAAAUAAAGUUUGAUUCAUUUAAAACUGA